rnacentral:misc_RNA from 1 species
CCGAGUUUACAACUCCCAAACCCCUGUGAACCUUACCCGCGUUGCUUCGGCGGCCGCGCCCCGGGCCCCGCGCCCGGAACCAGGCGCCCGCCGGGGGACCACAAACCAUGAAUCUUUCAGUAUCUUCUGAGUGGCACAAGCAAAAUAAAUUA